rnacentral:rRNA from 1 species
GACGAACGCUGGCGGCGUGCUUAACACAUGCAAGUCGAACGAUGAACCCGGAGCUUGCUCCGGCGGAUUAGUGGCGAACGGGUGAGUAACACGUGAGUAACCUGCCCUUGACUCUGGGAUAACUGCUAGAAAUGGUAGCUAAUACCGGAUACGACCCUCGGUGGCAUCACCAGGGGGUGGAAAGAAUUUCGGUCAAGGAUGGACUCGCGGCCUAUCAGCUAGUUGGUGAGGUAACGGCUCACCAAGGCGACGACGGGUAGCCGGCCUGAGAGGGUGACCGGCCACACUGGGACUGAGACACGGCCCAGACUCCUACGGGAGGCAGCAGUGGGGAAUAUUGCACAAUGGGCGCAAGCCUGAUGCAGCAACGCCGCGUGAGGGAUGACGGCCUUCGGGUUGUAAAGCUCUUUUGUCAGGGAAGAAACAGCAGCUCUAACACAGUCUGCGAAUGACGGUACCUGAAGAAUAAGCACCGGCUAAC